rnacentral:rRNA from 1 species
UACGUAGGGCGCAAGCGUUGUCCGGAAUUAUUGGGCGUAAAGAGCUCGUAGGCGGUUUGUCGCGUCUGUCGUGAAAGCUUGGGGCUUAACCCCAAGUCUGCGGUGGAUACGGGCAGACUAGAGGCAGGUAGGGGAGAACGGAAUUCCCGGUGGUAGCGGUGAAAUGCGCAGAUAUCGGGAGGAACACCAGUGGCGAAGGCGGCACUCUGGGCCGGAACUGACGCUGAGGAGCGAAAGCGUGGGGAGCGAACAGG